rnacentral:rRNA from 1 species
AUGCUUGGGAAUCUGCCCAAUAGCUGGGGGACAACUCGGGGAAACCCGGGCUAAUACCGCAUAAUCUCUACGGAGGAAAGAGGGCCUCUACUUGUAAGCUCUCGCUAAUGGAUGAGCCCAAGUCAGAUUAGCUAGUUGGUAGGGUAAUGGCUUACCAAGGCUACGAUCUGUAGCUGGUCUGAGAGGAUGAUCAGCCACACUGGGACUGAGACACGGCCCAGACUCCUACGGGAGGCAGCAGUGGGGAAUAUUGCACAAUGGGCGCAAGCCUGAUGCAGCAAUGCCGCGUGUGUGAAGAAGGCUCUAGGGUUGUAAAGCACUUUCAAUAGAGAAGAAAAGCUUGAAGUUAAUACCUUC